UUCGAAGGCGGAAUGAUAAGUUAGUGGUGAAAGCCCCCGGCUCAACCGGGGAACUGCCAUUAAUACUGUCAUUCUUGAGUAUAGUUGAAGUGGGCGGAAUGUAUCAUGUAGCGGUGAAAUGCUUAGAUAUGAUACAGAACACCGAUAGCGUAGGCAGCUUGCUAAACUAUAACUGACGCUCAGGCACGAAAGCGUGGGGAGCAAACAGGAUUAGAUACCCUGGUAGUCC
rnacentral:rRNA from 1 species